rnacentral:rRNA from 1 species
CACGUAGGGGGCAAGCGUUGUCCGGAUUCAUUGGGCGUAAAGAGCUCGUAGGCGGUGUGUCACGUCGGCCGUGAAAACCUGCAGCUUAACUGUGGGCGUGCGGUCGAUACGGGCAUCACUGGAGUUCGGCAGGGGAGACUGGAAUUCCUGGUGUAGCGGUGAAAUGCGCAGAUAUCAGGAGGAACACCGGUGGCGAAGGCGGGUCUCUGGGCCGAUACUGACGCUGAGGAGCGAAAGCGUGGGGAGCAAACAGG